GACCCAGACUCCUACGGGAGGCAGCAGUGAGGAAUAUUGGUCAAUGGGCUUACGCCUGAACCAGCCAAGUCGCGUGAGGGAAGACUGCCCUAUGGGUUGUAAACCUCUUUUGUCAGGGAGCAACGCCGGCUACGUGUAGCCGGACUGAGAGUACCUGAAGAAAAAGCAUCGGCUAACUCCGUGCCAGCAGCCGCGGUAAUACGGAGGAUGCGAGCGUUAUCCGGAUUUAUUGGGUUUAAAGGGUGCCCAGGGGGGGGGCAAAGGCAGGCGGGAAAACCGGGGGCCUCACCCCCGCACCGCCGUUGAAACUGUGUCCCUUGAGUGCGCGAAGGGUAGGCGGAAUGCGCGGUGUAGCGGUGAAAUGCAUAGAUAUCACGCAGAACUCCGAUCGCGAAGGCAGCCUACCGGCGCGCAACUGACGCUCAUGCACGAAAGUGUGGGUAUCGAACAGGAUUAGAUACCCUCGUA
rnacentral:rRNA from 1 species